rnacentral:rRNA from 1 species
GACGAACGCUGGCGGCGUGCUUAACACAUGCAAGUCGAACGGAAAGGCCCUGCUUUUGUGGGGUGCUCGAGUGGCGAACGGGUGAGUAACACGUGAGUAACCUGCCCUUGACUUUGGGAUAACUUCAGGAAACUGGGGCUAAUACCGGAUAGGAGCUCCUGCUGCAUGGGGGGGGUUGGAAAGUUUCGGCGGUUGGGGAUGGACUCGCGGCUUAUCAGCUUGUUGGUGGGGUAGUGGCUUACCAAGGCUUUGACGGGUAGCCGGCCUGAGAGGGUGACCGGCCACAUUGGGACUGAGAUACGGCCCAGACUCCUACGGGAGGCAGCAGUGGGGAAUAUUGCACAAUGGGCGGAAGCCUGAUGCAGCAACGCCGCGUGCGGGAUGACGGCCUUCGGGUUGUAAACCGCUUUCGCCGGUGACGAAGCGUGAGUGACGGUAAUGGGUAAAGGAGCACCGGCUAACUACGUG